GAUGAAGAACGUAGUGAAAUGCGAUAAGUAAUGUGAAUUGCAGAAUUCAGUGAAUCAUCGAAUCUUUGAACGCACAUUGCGCCCGCCAGUAUUCUGGCGGGCAUGCCUGUUCGAGCGUCAUUUCAACCAUCAAGCCCCCGGGCUUGUGUUGGGGACCUGCGGCUGCCGCAGGCCCUGAAAACCAGUGGCGGGCUCGCUAGUCACUCCGAGCGUAGUAGUUACAUCUCGCUCAGGGCGUGCUGCGGGUUCCGGCCGUUAAAAGCCUUUUACCCCAAGGUUAACCUCGGAUCAGGUAGGAAGACCCGCUGAACUUAAGCAUAUCAAUAAGCGGAGGA
rnacentral:misc_RNA from 1 species